GUGUCGCGCGCCGAAGUACCAGUGUCGGUGGAGAAGGCUGCGUCGACCUACGUUGCCAUCGCCUCUCCUGCAAGUUCACAGCACACACACACACACACACACACAUGCAUGGCACAUCGGCAUCGACUUCUUCACCUCCUUAUAUAUCUACCUUGUCUGAGCGAAAGCGGACGUCUCGCUCUUCGCGCUUUAUCUUCGUGUAAGUUCUGCCUUCGCCGAGCGUGCAGCACAGUGAAGUAGAGACACCGACACUCACACGCGCACAGGGAGGGGGUGGAACGGCGUGCCGGUAUUCGACCGCCUCCACGCCGGCUCGGCUCCCUCUUUUUCCAGGUGAAUGAGCGCGGCGCUGGAACGCCGCCGCUGAGGGCGCCAAAACCACCUUCGCACCCGCUCUCUCGCACGCGUUGGCGGAAGCACAGAAGAGAGAAGGGAGUGUGCGGGGAACCGCACAAAGGGCAGGGGCAUUCUCAAGCAAAGACAGGACCUGGUGACCACCACGAUGAGCUUUAGUCGCCCACAGCGGUCGCCACACCGGACGCUGCGGCACUCGCGCAACGCCGCCCGGCUCACUGACCUCCAUCAAGCGCGACACAGCCGAAACUGCUUUCCACGCCGUCCCUUGCGUGCUUCUCAUGCCGCGCAGUGCCUCCUGCCUAGCAACCCCGACGCCGCUGCCAACGACGCGGCGAUCUCCACCUCGUAUUCCGUCACAGCCUACACGACAACCGCAUACAUAAACUGUGAGGGCGUCUCCGGCAGCGACUCCGAAUACUCCGAGUACGACCUCGUCAAUGAGCAGAUGCAGGACUUCUUGCUUGACUCCGAGGACACAUCCGACGGCGACGCCGACGUGGAGGACAUCCUCGGCUUCGGGGCGGUUUUUAUGGGCGGUUUAAUACCUGCACGGCCGAGGGAUGCUCACCAAGCACGCGCGUGGCGACGCACCACGAAGCCUAACCGCCGACGGAUGGCGAAGAAGUCGGAAAGCUGCUCGUCGCUCUCGAACGCUGCACGGCCGACAGCGAGUUCAAGCACCACCAUGCUGAGCGACUUGGACACUAAUGUGAGGGAGGCAGUGGUAACCGGUGGGGCCGCGCAGCGGCGCGGCACCCGCAAGCAGCGACGGGCGAUGGCAAGCGGUGAGCGGCGCUGGCUUGUGCCCCCUCUCUCCGCCGUCUCGGUGAAAGCCACCGAUGAUAGAAACGAUGGACGAAGGCAGCUACCGUGGUUCACUGUCGUGUUUGAUCUAGACGAGACGCUGGUCGGGGCCCGCUACGGCCCCAUCCAUCUGCGCCCCCACGUUGGCGAGCUCCUGCGGUCACUUCACCGGCUCCCUGUUGAGAUCAUUGUGUGGACUGCCGGUACGGCGCACUACGUGAAUCCCAUUCUUCACGCCAUCGGGCAAGCCUGCGGCCGACGGCAGUGGUUCCAUCACAUCAUUAGCCGACACAAGCGCUGGUACCGCGGUGCCAACACGUGUGUGAAGGACCUGAGGCAGCUCGGUCGUCCUCUGGACCGCCUUCUUAUGGUGGAGAACAACCCCAUCUCCGCCCUCCCGCAGCCCUCGCUGUGCGUGCUGCUCGAAGACUACCUGCAACCAAAUGCCGCAGACGAGUCGCUGUUGGUGCUGAAGGAGUUGUUGGAGCGACUGUCGCUCCAGUACGAGAGAGAAGCACGUACCUCAUUCGCGGCAAGCACUUGUGAGCCGUCGGCCGAAGAGGACUGCCGUGCGCAGCGGCACACGCGUUCGCCUAAAAACACGUUACGGGACGCGACAACAAGUCGCACCACUGCUCUGCCGUCUUCAGCUCUUCCGUCGCUAGAGCUGCUCGUCCGAGAUGAUGCUGCACUGCAGCUGGUCGAGUUCCGCAUGGAGGACAUUCUCAAGGAGGACGGUGUCUCGAUGCUUCAGCGGGCGGAGAUGAGGGAGCUGGUUGGGGGGGCUGAUACGUUGCGGUGUCUUUGCCUUUGUUAUACACCGCCGCUGCUGCCGUCAUCCACCGCCGUGGCCCCACGGGGAACUGCAGCAUCCGUGUCAUGCGUGCCGAUGGCGAUGCGCAGCUACGGAUCCGUCAAUCCGCUACGGCCCCUGUAACGGAAACAGACGAAACGUUCAAGUGCGCUCAGCGGGACUCUCGAUCACUCUGGAGCACACUCCCUCCCUUCUCCCAAAAAAAAAAAAACGAUGUACGCGGCGCUGCGCGAUGUCCGCGACGUAUGUUAGCGGCUGCCGUGCGCUUCUUUUCUGCUAAGAUUUUUCGACGUCAAGCGCCACUCUUGUCCUUUUUGUGUGUCCCUGGGCUCGAUGUGGGCUUGCGUCAGAGACGGCGGCGUUUUCUCCUUUAGUAUUUUCUUCGUUGUUGGUACCGGUGGCAGCCGUGAACGCCUGGAGAACGAGUGUGCGGCUGCACUCUGUUUUGUUGUUUGUACGACAGCCAUGAGACACGACUCACCUGAAGCAGCUGCCACCGACGGACAGG
rnacentral:misc_RNA from 1 species